CGCAUCUGUGCAUGCAGCAUAUCAAUAAGCGGAGGAAAAGAAACUAACAAGGAUUCCCUUAGUAACGGCGAGUGAAGCGGGAAGAGCUCAAAUUUGAAAUCUUCAAGGUUUUACCUUGACGAAUUGUAGUUUAAAGAAGUGUUUUCUGUUGAAGUUUUGGUAAAAGUUCUUUGGAAUAGGACAUCAUAGAGGGUGAGAAUCCCGUAUUUGACCAUUAUUUUCAGCUGUGUGAUACACUUUCAAAGAGUCGGAUUGUUUGGGAAUGCAGUCCAAAAUGGGUGGUAAAUUUCAUCUAAAGCUAAAUAUUGGCGAGAGACCGAUAGCGAACAAGUACCGUGAGGGAAAGAUGAAAAGAACUUUGAAAAGAGAGUUAAACAGUACGUGAAAUUGUCAAAAGGGAAGCGUUUGACACCAGUGCUGUUUUCUCGAAAAUCAAUUAAAAAGAGUUAGAUUUUGUUGUGUAUUGACCUUAACAGCUUGCAUUUCAAUUUUCUUGCUUUUUUUAAUGCACUUUUCGUUUAACAAGUCAACAUCAGUUUCUUUUGUUGUAAAAAGGUCAUUGGAAGGUGGCUUUCUUCUCGGAGAAAGUGUUUAUAGCCUUUGACUCCUGCAAUCGGAGAGACUGAGGUCUGCAGCGUAGAUCCUUCGGGGUUAGAUACAUUUGUGCUAAGUUAUAGCUUUUUAUAGACAACUUGUUGACUAUGAUUAGUCUUGUAGCUUACUCGCUUAUGCUAUUUUACCUACGCUUAGGAUGUUGACACACGCGCGUGCUCG
rnacentral:rRNA from 1 species